AUUGAACGCUGGCGGCAGGCUUAACACAUGCAAGUCGAGCGAGCGGCGGACGGGUGAGUAAUGUCUGUGAAACUACCUGAUGGAGGGGGAUAACUACUGGAAAAGGUAGCUACUACCGCAUACCAUCAGAUGUGCCCAGAUGGGAUUAGCUAGUAGGUGGGGUAAUGGCUCACCUAGGCGACGAUCCCUAGCUGGUCUGAGAGGAUGACCAGCCACACUGGAACUGAGACACGGUCCAGACUCCUACGGGAGGCAGCAGUGGGGAAGAUUGCACAAUGGGCGCAAGCCUGAUGCAGCCAUGCCGCGUGGAUGAAGAAGGCCUUCGGGUUGUAAAGCACUUUCAGUGAGGAGGCGGUACCAGCAGAAGAAGCACCGGCUAACUCCGUGCCAGCAGCCGCGGUAAUAC
rnacentral:rRNA from 1 species